rnacentral:rRNA from 1 species
UACGUAGGGGGCAAGCGUUAUCCGGAUUUACUGGGUGUAAAGGGUGCGUAGGCGGUCUCUUAAGUCAGCGGUCAAAGCCCGGGGCUCAACCCCGGCCCGCCGUUGAAACUGGGGGACUCGAGUUGGAGAGGCAGGCGGAAUUCCGUGUGUAGCGGUGAAAUGCGUAGAUAUCGCGCAGAACCCCGAUUGCGAAGGCAGCCUGCCGGCUCCACACUGACGCUGAGGCACGAAAGCGUGGGUAUCGAACA